rnacentral:tRNA from 1 species
GCUGUGGAUCAGUGGCAGACCACCUGCCUCGAGUGCGGAAGGUCCCCGGAUCGAUUCCUGGCAUCACCG